ensembl:snoRNA Gm24948 small nucleolar RNA SNORA73 family
UGUACGUGGACACCCUGGUGGUCAUUCUCCCAAAUCUCUGUCCUAAUGGCAUAGUAGAGCAUAGGGCACUGCCUGGUGAUGUAGAGUUCCUUUCCACAACGUUAGAGAUGAAGCUGGACUUCAAGUCUGUGUCCGCAUAUUCCUAAGACUUCUUGAGUCCCGUAGAUGAUGACUAAGGAGAAAAAACAUGCAGGAAACAAAC